rnacentral:rRNA from 1 species
AUACGGAGGAUCCGAGCGUUAUCCGGAUUUAUUGGGUUUAAAGGGUGCGCAGGCGGCCAUUUAAGUCAGCGGUUAAAUCGUGGGGCUCAACCCCAUUCUGCCGUUGAUACUGGGUGGCUUGAUUGCGGUCGAGGUUGGCGGAAUUCGUUGUGUAGCGGGGAAAUGCAUAGAUAUGACGAAGAACACCGAUUGCGUAGGCAGCUGACCAGACCGCAAAUGACGCUCAUGCACGAAAGUGCGGGGAUCGAACAGGAUUAGAUACCCUGGUAGUCCGCACAGUAAACGAUGAAUACUUGUUUUCGGCGAUAUAAUGUCGGAGGCAAAGCGAAAGCGAUAAGUAUUCCACCUGGGGAGUACGCUGGCAACGGUGAAACUCAAAGGAAUUGACGGGG